rnacentral:pre_miRNA from 1 species
UGAAAGACAAGUCUUAUACAUUCUUAGUGUCAAACAUCCAAGUGUGUUAAGCUGGUCUUUCAGA